rnacentral:rRNA from 1 species
ACGCCCGGACCCAUUCCGAACCCGGAAGCUAAGGCCACCAGCGCCGAUGGUACUGCACUCGACAGGGUGUGGGAGAGUAGGACACCGCCGGAC